AGAAGACAAAAAAACAUUUCAUUCAGUGCCUGCUACUCGGUACCAUAAAAGUUUCUGUAUUUUAAAUAUUUCCGAAACCUUACAGUGAUAUAUACGCAGUUACGCACUCUUUCUUGACUAUAUCGUAAGACAUGGUGGUGGGCUCUGUGUUCUUGAUCUUUUUUGGGUCUCCCCAGAUUUGAACCAAGUGGCCAUCCCCGUGUUUCACAGCCUUUUUGAGAAGGGAAUCUCUGGGGACAGAGUUUCAGCUUCUGGGUUUCGCCUGGAAAACUAUUAAGGUUGUUAAAGUUUGCAUCUUUGCAGUGAAUUCUUCUAGUUUGGAGCACUGGGUAAUCUUCUAUUUCUGGGAAUUUCACUGGGGGAUGAUUGUUUUUCAGUUAUAGAGGCAGAGUUUUGAUCUCUAUAUCAUUUCAAGGUACCUUUUAUCUCUUUUCCCCUAUUUUCCCCCAAAAAGGUUGCUUGUUUGGAUUCAAUUCAUCUAAUUAGGAGCAGAUGAAAGCGACUGUUCACUGCAGAUUUUGACUUUUUUUUUUUGGUUUAAACCUACGGAAAGUCGUAAAGUUUAAUCUCUUGAUUUUGGGUUGUUGUUAUCUGAGAAAUUGAGAUGAUAAGUGAUAAGUGAUGAUGCUGAAAUAUUAAUCUGAUGAUGACGAAAAUUUUCUGGUGUUCAAGUUAUUGAAAGUAAAGUUUCUGGCUCCCCAAGUUCUUGAAAGUUUGGUGGAUUUGGGGAUAAGUAAGUGUUUCUCUGAACUGUUUGGAUUUGAUUUAUAGGAGGUGAGAGAGAGAUAGUUUCUGAGGUUGAGUGAUGGAAAAACAGGCUAGUUUUCGUGGGGUGAUGGAGAAACAGCAAAGUUUUCGAAAUAUGGAAAAGCAAAAGAGUUUCAAAGGACUGAUGGAAAAGCAGAAAAGCUUUAGGAUAGCAAUGGAGAGGCAGCUGAGCUUUGGUGGUGAGAGGAAAAGGGGCAAGGAUUCACCUGGGAAACGAGGUGAUAACGCGCUUCACCUUGCUGCACGAGCAGGGAAUCUAAGUAAGGUGAGGGAAAUUUUACAGAGGUUUGACAGUAAAGCCAUCAAGGAUAUGCUAUCAAAGCAGAACCAAGAGGGUGAGACUGCUCUUUAUGUCGCAGCUGAGAAUGGGCACACCUUGGUUGUCGGAGAAAUCUUGAAGCAGCUAGACCUUGAAACUGCCUCUAUUGCCUCUAACAAUGGAUAUGAUGCAUUCCAUAUUGCAGCCAAGCAGGGACAUCUUGAAGUUCUGAAGGAACUCUUGAAUGUUUUCCCUAACUUAGUGAUGACCACGGAUUCAUCCAAUUCUACAGCCCUACACACGGCUGCUGGUCAAGGGCACGCUGAUGUAGUUGAUUUGCUUCUUGAAAUUGAUUCAAACCUUGCUAAGAUAGCUCGGAACAAUGGUAAGACUGUACUCCAUACAGCAGCAAGAAUGGGCCAUUUGGAAGUGGUGAAAUCGCUUGUAAACAAGGACCCCAGUAUUGGCUUUAGGACGGACAAGAAAGGCCAAACUGCAUUGCACAUGGCGGUGAAGGGGCAAAACGUGGAUAUUGUGCUUGAAUUAAUCAAACCAGAUCCAAGUGUACUAGCAAUAGGAGAUAACAAGGAAAACACCGCACUCCAUAUCGCAACAAGGAAGGGACGACCUCAGAUGGUUCAACGCUUAAUAUCCAUUGAGGGCAUCAACAUCAACGCAGUUAACAAGGCUGGAGAAACUGCUCUUGACAUUGCGGAAAAGUUUGGACCUCCAGAUGUUGUGACUAUGUUAAAGGAGGCUGGAGCUACCCAUUCCAAAGACCACGGGAAGCCUCCAAGUGCUGCAAAGCAACUCAAGCAGACGGUCAGCGAUAUAAAGCACGAUGUUGAAUCCCAGCUUCAACAGAGCCGACAGACUGGGUUCAGGGUAAGAAAAAUAGCGAAGAAGGUGAAGAAGCUUCAUAUUAGUGGCCUUAACAACGCCAUCAACUCUCUGACAGUUGUUGCCGUCCUUAUUGCUACUGUUGCAUUUGCCGCCAUCUUCACUGUGCCAGGGCAAUAUGUUGAAAAGGAAAAGAAAGGGUUUACUCUUGGUGAAGCCAACGUAGCACAUAAAGCAGCUUUCAUAGUCUUCUUCUUGUUUGACAGCCUUGCGUUAUUCAUCUCCAUAGCUGUUGUCGUUGUCCAGACAUCCGUGGUUGUGAUAGAACAAAAGGCCAAGAAGCAGAUGGUCUUCAUUAUAAACAAGCUCAUGUGGGCGGCUUGCCUCUUCAUCUCAGUUGCCUUUAUUUCGCUUACUUAUGUGGUGGUUGGAACUCGGGAGCAAUGGCUAGCUAUCUAUUCUACCGUCGUAGGUGGAAUGAUCAUGCUAACUACUAUUGGCUCCAUGUGCUACUGUGUAAUUCGUCAUAGGUUGGAGGAAUCGAGGAUGAGGAAUAUAAGGAAAGCUGAGACGCUGUCUCGUUCAUUUUCAAUGUCAAUGGUGCCAUCAGAUUCAGAGCUUUAUAAUGAAAACUACAAGAGGAUGUAUGCAGUGUAGAAACAAACCAUAUUGGAAGCAUAUAGAAAACCCACGAUAAGGGGCUAUGAUUCAGCAUAGGACGAACAACAUUAAAGCCUUGUGCAGAGCAUAAAUUGUAUAUGUGCACUGUGCACACUCAAUGGAUGAUGGCAUUUGCAGUUGGUUGAUGCUGUAUCCAAGAUGAAGGCUUUAGAGAAUCAGUUGGUUUCCUCUAAAACUUGUUCUCCCAUUGUCGGUUGAGGACGAGCUUACCCCAUGGCUGCAAAUACCAGGUUGCUAUUCUAGUAACAAGAAAGUGCGAAUAUGUUGUGAAUUUCUGAGAUAAAUUGUAGAAUGGCAACAUUAUAGUUGCUGUAAUUAAUAAUAGUGCUAUAUUUGUUAAGUUCCUGCUCUUUUUCUAUGCUUUGCUGAUUUCACUUGUAACCUGAUGAUGCUGUACAGGUUUUGAUGUCAUAGUGUUGUAAAAAUCAGCUUAGACUGCCUCCUAGGCUGAAGGGUAGAAUGGGAAAAAUUUGCUUAGACCGUCGCCUAGGCUGAAGGGUAGAAUGGGCAAGUCAGCCGUACUUGUUAGAAGUAUUAAAAAAAUCAGAUAUUUUUUUA